GACGAACCGAGCGAACGUUAUUCGGAAUCACUGGGCUUAAAGGGCGCGUAGGCGGUUCGUACAGUCAGACGUGAAAUUCCUGGGCUCAACCUGGGGGCUGCGUUUGAUACGUACGGACUUGAGUGCGGAAGAGGGUCGUGGAAUUCCCAGUGUAGAGGUGAAAUUCGUAGAUAUUGGGAAGAACACCGGUGGCGAAGGCGGCGACCUGGUCCGAUACUGACGCUGAGGCGCGAAAGCGUGGGGAGCAAACAGG
rnacentral:rRNA from 1 species